GAUGAACGCUAGCGGCAGGCCUAACACAUGCAAGUCGAGGGAUAAGCCUUCGGGCUCUGCCCGGCGCACGGGUGCGUAGCGGGUAAACACUCUGCCUUUUAUCCGGUAGAUAGCCCGAAGAAAUUUGAAUUAAUACCCUAUGGUCUAACAGCACGGCAUCGUGCACUUAUUAACGCUACGGCGGUAACAGAUGAGGAUGCGUUCUAUUGGCUAGUUGGUGAGGGAACGGCUCCCCAAGGCGACGAUAGAUCGGGGUCCUGAGGGGGAGGUCCCCCACACGGGAACUGCGAUACGGACCAGACCGCUACGGGAGGCAGCAGUGAGGUAGACUGGGGAAGGGUCGGAAGACCGAUCCAGCCAUGUCGGGUGCAGGAGUACUGCGAUAGGGGAGGUAAUCUGCUUGUGGAAGGGAAGAAUAAGGAGUAAGUGUACUUUGAUGACGGUACCUUACGAAUAAGCAUCGGCUAACUCCGUG
rnacentral:rRNA from 1 species